rnacentral:rRNA from 1 species
AUUGAACGCUGGCGGCAUGCUUUACACAUGCAAGUCGAACGGUAACAGGUUAAGCUGACGAGUGGCGAACGGGUGAGUAAUGCAUCGGAACGUGCCCGAUCGUGGGGGAUAACGCAGCGAAAGCUGAGCUAAUACCGCAUACGAUCUGAGGAUGAAAGCUGGGGACCGUAAGGCCUCGCGCGAUCGUAGCGGCCGAUGUCAGAUUAGGUAGUUGGUGGGGUAAAGGCCCACCAAGCCGACGAUAUGGAGCUGGUCUGAGAGGACUACCAGCCACACUGGGACUGGGAAACGGCCCAGACUCCUACGGGAGGGAGCAGUGGGGAAUUUUGGACAAUGGGCGAAAGCCUGAUCCAGCAAUGCAGCGUGCAGGAAGAAGGCCUUCGGGUUGUAAACUGCUUUUGUACGGAGCGAAAAGGUCCUUGCUAAUACAAGGGGCUCAUGACGGUACCGUAAGAAUAAGAACCGGCUAACUACGUGCCAGCCGCCGCCGUAA